rnacentral:rRNA from 1 species
ACGCUGGCGGCGUGCUAACACAUGCAAGUCGCGGGAGAAAGUGACCUUCGGGUCGCGAGUAAACCGGCGCACGGGUGAGUAACACGUAGGUAACGUACCUUCGAACCUGGGAUAACCAGUCGAAAGAUUGGCUAAUACCGGAUACGACCGAGAGGACUUCGGCCCUCACGGUGAAAGGCGGCCUCUGCUUGCAAGCUGUCAUUCGAAGAGCGGCUGCGCACCAUUAGCUAGUUGGUGAGGUAACGGCUCACCAAGGCUGAGAUGGUUAGCUGGUCUGAGAGGAUGGCCAGCCACACUGGGACUGAGACACGGCCCAGACUCCUACGGGAGGCAGCAGUGGGGAAUAUUGCGCAAUGGGCGAAAGCCUGACGCAGCGACGCCGCGUGGGUGAUGAAGGCCUUCGGGUCGUAAAGCCCUGUCGGGAGGGAAGAAACGCUUCCGGUCUAAUACAUCGGAGGAAUUGACGGUACCUCCUAAGGAAGCACCGGCUAACUCCGUGCCAGCAGCCGCGGUAAUACGGAGGGUGCAAGCGUUGUUCGGAAUCACUGGGCGUAAAGGGCGUGUAGGCGGUCUAUCAAGUCUGGUGUGAAAUCCCCUCGCUCACGAGGGAACUGGCCGGAAACUGAUAGACUAGAGUACCCGGAGAAGGAAGGUGGAAUUCCCGGUGUAGCGGUGAAAUGCGUAGAAUUUCGGGGAAGGGAACACCGGGUGGGCGAAGGGCGG